UACAGAGGGUGCAAGCGUUAAUCGGAAUUACUGGGCGUAAAGCGUGCGUAGACGGUUAUGUAAGUCAGAUGUGAAAGCCCCGGGCUCAACCUGGGAAUUGCAUUUGAGACUGUGUAGCUAGGGUGCGGAAGAGGGAAGCGGAAUUUCCGGUGUAGCGGUGAAAUGCGUAGAUAUCGUAAGGAAGACCAGUGGCGAAGGCGGGUCUCUGGACAGUUCCUGACGCUGAGGCACGAAGGCCAGGGGAGCAAACGGG
rnacentral:rRNA from 1 species